GACUGCAUCGCUGCCCCGCCCUGAAAUGCUGCGGUGUGGUCGCCGUUGCCGUGCCCAUGAUGCUAGCUUCCCCUGUCCACCAUUGGAGCUUAGUUGGAGCUCGUCCGCGAGCUCGAGAAGCCUCCCCCUGCCUAUAUAAGAGACCCCCGAGUCCUCCCGCAGCUCCCAAGCCCCUCCCUCGCCUCAUUUGGUCACCGGAGCAGUGACAUCUCACCGUUCUUUGCCGUUUGCUUUCGGUGUUCGUUGGAGUCCGAGCUCUCCCGAGCACCACAAGCCUCCUCUCCUCCUCCCAAGUUGUCCACCGUGUUCCUCUCAUCACCGCGGUUCGCCCCCACCCACUUGCCCCUCGCCGGAGUCCAUCCUGGCCGCGUGCCCCAUGCACGGCCGCCGCCUCCGCCGUUAGACCUCUGCUCUGUCCGGCCGCCCUAGCCACUCCCUCGCCUUCCCGACUCCACCAUAGGCCUCCUUGUGCUCCUGCGGACCGCCCCAACCCAUCAGCCUCGCCGGAGUUGCCCUCAUCGCCGAUCACCACCUCCACCCCGUCCGCCUCUGUCCUCCUCCUACCCCCUCCCAUCUCCGCGCCACCUCCCAUCCCCAGCACCGGCCGAUCACGGGAACGGACGCUCCAGGCCCCGCCGCCCCCACCGGUGGCCUCGCCCUGGCCGGGGAUGGCUAAGCCGGCCGGCCCCCUCAUCGCCCUCCCUCCCCGGUCGCUGCUCUGUUCACGAGCGAACAUGAGCACGAGGAGGAAGAAGACGACCGCUUCGGGCCCCACUGUCCCCUGGGCCUGGCCUGUUAGUGUCCCACGCGCCCUCGUUGACGUGUCAAGUGGACACGUGUUCGGUGAGCGCGUGUUCAGUUGCCAGAAAGCGAAUUCUUCCUCCCUUUUAACAUUAUAUGUUUUCUCACCGGAAAGUGUAUUCCUUUCUACUGGAGCCUAAAGUACGCUUUCACUAUUCUGAAAACGUAUUUCCCGCAAUACGCCUUCUGUUUUUCCUCCCAGGGACCCGUUGGUGAUGAAAAUAUUCACAGAUUGGUCCUUCUACUUCAACCCCUCACAACUUUUCAACCGUAGAUCCGAUGGAGGUGAAACCACCACUCACGUCUUCGUCUCGUCAAGCUCUUUCUGUUAGUAACAUUUUCACUAGGUGAUCCCACAGUGAAAAUGACCAUUUUGGCUUUGCCUCUAAUCAGCCCCUUCGAGAAAGAACCGUCCGGGGUUUCGUUUUCACGGCUUCACCGCACUUUUUCCCGGAGUCUCCGUCACCCCCAGGCAAGCCACAACCACCAUUUGCAUGAUAGCCAUGCAGUAGCAUUGGUUUUCAACUUGAAUCUUUAAUAACUGUCUGUUUGUUUUGCUACUGCUGUCGUUAUUUUGGUUAUGCGUAUGGAUCGAUGGUUACCGUUAUGCUAUGUUUUCUUGCACUCGGUUAUCAUGAUCUACUUGCUAGUAUUACUUUCAUAUGUUCAUGCUUGCUAGUAGUUCAUGUUGGUGUUGGUUAUGUUCUUCGGUGCAUGACUAUCGUCUAUUACCGAGUACCGUUGAUAUGUAUAUUUCAUUGCAUCUCGCUGGUUUAUGCUCACCUGGUAAUAUUAUCGUUAUGUUCUUGCAUGGUAUUUCUUUAUGAUGCUAGUGGUCAUGCUAUGCUUAUGAUAGAGUUAUGUUGGUGUUAUUCAUGCUCGUCAGCAUGCCAAUCUCAGUCGGAUAUAUGCUUCAUUGUUGUUAUACUCAAUGAUUUAUCAUGGUUGCACACCCAUGCUCAUGUUGGUAUUAUGCUCAUGUAUUGUAGUUGCAUCAUGUUAUUUUUAAUAUGACUCAACUUAUUACAUUCAAGUUUAACCGGACUUAAUGGAACUUGAACAACUAUUGGCUGGGUCAUUGUGCCACUGAAUCGAGCUGACCAGUGCAACCACAUUUGCCUUUGUGGGAAGGUCCUAACUAGGUCUAUUGUCAUGCCUCUCGCUGGUGCCGCCAACGAGGGAAGGUUAUGCGCGGGCGCUACCUUGGCCGGGUAGGACGGCAUAAGCCUUGUGUGCCCAUGUUUGGUUUUGAGCUCAUGUCCCCGUUUGGGACCAUUUGUUUUCCCAUGACGGUGGCCGUUGAUACCUUUGGUAGGCAUGGGCCCACCCAUGACUUAGCCUAGAGGGGAGUUGGUAGGAGUGGCCAGGAGAGUGUCAUGGGAAAUAGAGCACUUUGGUCGGAACAUCGUUGGUCCACCCGAAUGGGAGUGUGAGGCCAUGGGUUCCGUGGUGUGGGUACAGUGUGCUAACCCCUGCAGAGUGUGUGUUUGUGAAAUCUAUCGAUAGCCGCGCCCGCGGAUAAGGGCCCAGUUCGAAGUCGGUCACACUAUGGGUCAACAGUAAUAAUAAUGAUGUGCUUAAUAACAACCCUAGUUCGAUGAUGAAAGAAGUUGGUUGAUCUUUAUGUGAUCGUGAGAGGAUCACCGUGGUAUCGAGGAUACCGAGUUGUUGGAUAUUUGUGGUGUUCUGCAAGAAUCACGGGUAAAGGUCAAGCUCGUUGUGGUCAUGUAAUGAUUACUACGGUAUUGUUAUACCAAGCUUGAUUUGAUCCUGAGAUGAUCGUGUGAUGUCCGUGGUGGUAAGUAAUGCAUGUUGUGGUUACGAGGUAACCCGAGCAGAGUAAGUUGGUGCAUGACGAUGUUAACCUGUUGCAUGUACUAUCAUCAUGUUCAUAUGAUCGUGUCAUGCUAAAAUUGUUUCUUUUUCAGUUAUGCAUGCCAUAUUGUUCUGCUAGUAUCAUGUUCAUGAUUGAUUUAACCUGCUAAUGCCAUGUUGUUGUUUGUCUUGACUGCUUUUGGCUAUUGUGAGCUUGCAAGUACAUUGAAUGUACUGACCUAGCAUGUCAUGCCAGUUUGCAGGUCAUGCCUGGAUUGCUUGCUUGUUUGGUGUGGUUCCUGUGUUCACAAGCUAGGAUAAACGUUCCGUCCAUAGUCCCUGCGGAUUGGAGUCCAUCAUUGUCGUUCGUUGUUUUGUUUCCAAUAGUUGUUCCGCUGCCAGUUGAGGUUCCGCUGCCUCGAGUUGUUAUGCUGCUUGCAUAGAGCAACUGUGGUUGGCGUAGUGUCGCCGUGCCGGUAUUAUUCCUUGUAAUAUCGGAUACCUUGUAUUCGUAUUCAGGUUGUAAUAGAAAGUUGGUUUGUUCUAUGCUAAGAAGUGUUGUCUUCUAGAAUACGGGGCUGGAAUACGGGGCGUUCCGUUUUCUCUGAGCCCGGGUGUCACAAUAAACUCAAAGUUCAUUGGAUCCAAACAAACACACC
rnacentral:lncRNA from 1 species